rnacentral:rRNA from 1 species
UACAGAGGGUGCAAGCGUUUGUUCGGAAUUAUUGGGCGAAAGGGCGCGUAGGCGGCCUGGCAAGUGGAAGGUGAAAUCCCCUCGGCUUAACCGAGGAACUGCCCUCCAAACUGCUUGGCUUGAGUCCGGGAGAGGUGAGUGGAAUUCCCAGUGUAGCGGUGAAAUGCGUAGAUAUUGGGAGGAACACCAGUGGCGAAGGCAGCUCGCUGGGACGGUACUGACGCUGAGGCGCGAAAGCGUGGGGAGCAAACAGGG